rnacentral:rRNA from 1 species
CCCUUAGAUGUUCUGGGCUGCACACGCGCUACACUGAAGGAGGCAGCGUGUACUCCUGGAUCGAAAGAUUUGGGUAACCCGCGAAUCUCCUUCGUGCUAGGGAUUGAGGUUUGCAAUUAUCCUUCAUGAACGAGGAAUUCCCAGUAAGUGCAAGUCAUAAGCUUGCGCUGACUACGUCCCUGCCCUUUGUACACACCGCCCGUCGCUACUACCGAUUGAAUGAUUUAGUGAGGACUUCGGACUGGGACCGAUGCGGCUUUCGGGCUGCGUCGGUAUUCUGGAAAGAUGUCCAAACUGUAUCAUUUAGAGGAAGUAAAANUCGUANCA